rnacentral:misc_RNA from 1 species
GAUGAAGAACGCAGCAAAAUGCGAUAAGUAAUGUGAAUUGCAGAAUUCAGUGAAUCAUCGAAUCUUUGAACGCACAUUGCGCCCGCCAGUAUUCUGGCGGGCAUGCCUGUUCGAGCGUCAUUUCAACCCUCAAGCACAGCUUGGUGUUGGGACUCGCGUUAAUUCGCGUUCCCCAAAUUGAUUGGCGGUCACGUCGAGCUUCCAUAGCGUAGUAGUAAAACCCUCGUUACUGGUAAUCGUCGCGGCCACGCCGUUAAACCCCAACUUCUGAACGUUUGACCUCGGAUCAGGUAGGAAUACCCGCUGAACUUAAGCAUAUCAAUAAGCGGAGGA